GUAGGUGGCAAGCGUUGUCCGGAAUUAUUGGGCGUAAAGCGCGCGCAGGCGGUUCUUUAAGUCUGAUGUGAAAGCCCACGGCUCAACCGUGGAGGGUCAUUGGAAACUGGAGAACUUGAGUACAGAAGAGGAAAGCGGAAUUCCACGUGUAGCGGUGAAAUGCGUAGAGAUGUGGAGGAACACCAGUGGCGAAGGCGGCUUUCUGGUCUGUAACUGACGCUGAGGCGCGAAAGCGUGGGGAGCAAACAGGGAUUAGAUACCCUGGUAGUCCACGCCGUGAACGAUGAGUGCUAAGUGUUAGGGGGGUUUCCGCCCCCCUUAGUGCUGCAGCUAACGCAUUAAGCACUCCGCCUGGGAGUACGGCCGCAAGGCUG
rnacentral:rRNA from 1 species